rnacentral:rRNA from 1 species
CAUGUAGGCGGAUUAAUAAGUUUGAAGUGAAAUCCUAUAGCUUAACUAUAGAACUGCUUUGAAAACUGUUAAUCUAGAAUGUGGGAGAGGUAGAUGGAAUUUCUGGUGUAGGGGUAAAAUCCGUGGAGAUCAGAAGGAAUACCGAUUGCGAAGGCGAUCUACUGGAACAUUAUUGACGCUGAGAUGCGAAAGCGUGGGGAGCAAACA